rnacentral:snRNA from 1 species
AUACUUACCUGGACGGGGUCGACGGCCGAUCAAGAAGGGCCGUGGCCUAGAUCAAUGGCUCACAUUGCACUUGGUGAGCGCGUUGGUUUACCAUCUCCCCAAGUGGGAGAGUGGACGUCAUAAUUUGUGGGAGAGUGGACGUCAUAAUUUGUGAUAGAGGGGGUACGCGUUCGCGCGGCCCCUG